GUAAAAGGAACUUCCGCUAAAGGCGUGCACGUCCUGUGCACAACGCGGAAGUCACCGCAUCCUGCGGA
rfam:Sporolactobacillus inulinus CASD NODE_319, whole genome shotgun sequence.